AAUUGUCAGAGUAUACCUCAUUGAGAUGGCAUUUAAGCUGAUACCUGAAGGAAGUGAAUGCUAUAAUUUAUAAAUAAAAACUUUCACCUUUUUUUCUUUGCAGAAAAACAGAAAAGAGAAUUAGGUAUGUUAUCUUAACUUUACCAGCUCUUACUAAGCCAAGGACAGCAUGGUUUCAACACAACAGACAAUUUUGAUGGGGGAAGGUGGGACACUGGAACUCGGGGCCUAGCAAUGGUGAGGAAAACAGCUGGAGAGGUGUCUGCCCUGUCUGUGAGAAGAAUGUCUAGCACACAACAGUGAAAUCUUCACAGCUCUAUUUGUCUCUCUUUGUUGAAGUCUUAGAACCAUGGCAAAAAGAUAUGGUUAUGGCAAUGAAGUCAAUAAGCAGUGUAUGUAACUCCAAGGACUGCCAGAAAAAUGAGGAAAAAAACAUACGGCUUUCAAAGCGUCACAAUCAAAUCACCUUCUUGUGCUAGCAAUACAGCUUUCAAACAUGAUCUUCUGUUAUUCACAUUAGGUGGCUUUUUGUUCAGUAAUUUGAACUUUGCUGACCCAAACAGAAGAAAGAAAUCUCUUGUUGGUUCACUCCUUGACCUUGGAUUUAAUGCUCGCGAAAGGGCUGAAGAUCGGUGGAGAAAACAUCGAGAUACUGAUAGUUUAGUGUUAAAAGACACUCCAGCAGCAGGUGACUCAAAUGCAAGAAAUGGGGAUGAAUAUUCUAGUGGUAUCUCUGAAGACUCAGGAUUCAAUUUGGGGUCAUCUGAUCAGCAGGGAUUUGGAAUCAGUGGAAUUGGUAGGAAUGGAGAGAGUGGCAGUGGAAUCGUGGGGGCUGGAUACUUGAGUCCUGGAUCUGAUGUCAGUGGCACAGGUAUCUUCACCUGGACUCUGUUCCCAAGAAAUACAAAUUAGUUUCUUCCUUCUUCAUUUCUUUUAAUCACACUUUUAAUCAAUUAAUUGAUUUUCCAUUAGGAGAAAAUACUUGGUCUUCUGGUUCUGGAAGUGGUGGAGGAAGGAAGGGUGCAGCUGGACUUGGUGUUGGUACUUCUGGACCAAAUGAAUUUGGUGAAACUGGCGUUAGUGGCACAGGUACCUGUGAUACUGGAAUGGAUGUUAUUGGGUCUGGUUCCCAUGGACGAGAAUUGGGAUUUAUGUCUGGCGUUUAGAGAGUCAGGAUUCUAACAUAUGUUAUAAAAUAACAAUGAAAAUCAUAAACAUCAAUAAUGAUAUAAAAAGCAAGACAAAAUCCUGAAAUGAUAAACUGUAUUUAGACGUGAUCAGGAAAAAAAAUCAUUUAAUAUUUUUUGUAGAAUGUGGAAUGAAUUUUGUGGCUGUGAUUAGAUUUAUGUGGAGUUGUUUUUGUUGCCUUCAUGCAAAAAUGAUUUGGAGUCGCAUAUGUGAAGAGGUGAUUUGUUGG
rnacentral:lncRNA from 1 species